AACGAACGCUGGCGGCAGGCUUAACACAUGCAAGUCGAGCGCCCCGCAAGGGGAGCGGCAGACGGGUGAGUAACGCGUGGGAAUCUACCGAGCCCUGCGGAAUAGCUCCGGGAAACUGGAAUUAAUACCGCAUACGCCCUACGGGGAAAGAUUUAUCGGGGUUUGAUGAGCCCGCGUUGGAUUAGCUAGUUGGUGGGGUAAUGGCCUACCAAGGCGACGAUCCAUAGCUGGUCUGAGAGGAUGAUCAGCCACAUUGGGACUGAGACACGGCCCAAACUCCUACGGGAGGCAGCAGUGGGGAAUAUUGGACAAUGGGGGCAACCCUGAUCCAGCCAUGCCGCGUGAGUGAUGAAGGCCUUAGGGUUGUAAAGCUCUUUCGGCGGGGAAGAUAAUGACGGUACCCGCAGAAGAAGCCCCGGCUAACUUCGUGCCAGCCGCCGCAGUAAAAC
rnacentral:rRNA from 1 species